rnacentral:rRNA from 1 species
GAUGAACGCUGGCGGCGUGCCUAAUACAUGCAAGUCGAGCGAACGGACGAGAAGCUUGCUUCUCUGAUGUUAGCGGCGGACGGGUGAGUAACACGUGGAUAACCUACCUAUAAGGCUGGGAUAAAUUCGGGAAACCGGAGCUAAUACCGGAUGAUAUUUUGAACCGCAUGGUUCAAAAGUGAAAGACGGUCUUGCUGUCACUUAUAGAUGGAUCCGCGCUGCAUUAGCUAGUUGGUAAGGUAACGGCUUACCAAGGCAACGAUGCAUAGCCGACCUGAGAGGGUGAUCGGCCACACUGGAACUGAGACACGGUCCAGACUCCUACGGGAGGCAGCAGUAGGGAAUCUUCCGCAAUGGGCGAAAGCCUGACGGAGCAACGCCGCGUGAGUGAUGAAGGUCUUCGGAUCGUAAAACUCUGUUAUUAGGGAAGAACAUAUGUGUAAGUAACUGUGCACAUCUUGACGGUACCUAAUCAGAAAGCCACGGCUAACUACGUG